rnacentral:lncRNA from 1 species
CCGGGCGGGGCCGGGGCCGGGGCGGGCCUUGCUCCCCCACUACCCCCGGCUGCGCCCGCGGCUCCGGAAACGCGCCGCGGGGCUGCUGGGCUCAGCCGCGCGCGGGCGGCUCCGUGGCGUUUCCUGCCACGCCGGGCCUGCCUGGGCCUCGCCAACGCCGCUCCGCCGAGGUCCGCGCGUCGGCCGCCACGGGGCCGGGCUCUGCCUGCCCCCCCAGGGUCUUGCCCUUCCCCAGGAUGGACCCCCAGGAAACCAGGUCCUGGCAGGCCCUCUUGAGAUCCUUGAGGCCCAGCAUGACACACUACAGGACUUGAACCCCUGCUGCUGCCUUCCAUCCCUCUGCUGUCCUCCUGAGAGUCUACCAAGAAACGGGAUUCAGUGA